rfam:Oryza glumipatula chromosome 4, whole genome shotgun sequence.
GAUAUCAACUGAAAAAGUCAUCAACAACAAAGUUGAAUAACUCAUCAAGAUCUAAAACUUUUAUUUUGGUCAUUUCUUCAUACGACAAAGUAAUAGUAACAUUGUUCAAAAAAUUGACAUAUCUAUUAUCUGGUUUUAUAAACUAUAACACAUAUAUGUAAAAUUUGUGAAUAAUAUUACUAACAUUUCGUCAGAUGAAGAAAUAACACAAAUAAAAGUUUUAGAUCUUGAUGAGUUAUUCAACUUUGUUGUUGAUGAAUUUUUCAAUUGAAAUC